UGGCUGAGUGGUAAAGCGCUUGGCUUCAAAACUGAGUGUCCUGGGUUCGAAUCCUGG
rnacentral:tRNA from 1 species